GGCAGGCCUAACACAUGCAAGUCGAGCGGAUGAAGGGAGCUUGCUCCUGGAUUCAGCGGCGGGACGGGUGAGUAAUGCCUAGGAAUCUGCCUGGUAGUGGGGGAUAACGUCCGGAAACGGGCGCUAAUACCGCAUACGUCCUGAGGGAGAAAGUGGGGGAUCUUCGGACCUCACGCUAUCAGAUGAGCCUAGGUCGGAUUAGCUAGUUGGUGGGGUAAAGGCCUACCAAGGCGACGAUCCGUAACUGGUCUGAGAGGAUGAUCAGUCACACUGGAACUGAGACACGGUCCAGACUCCUACGGGAGGCAGCAGUGGGGAAUAUUGGACAAUGGGCGAAAGCCUGAUCCAGCCAUGCCGCGUGUGUGAAGAAGGUCUUCGGAUUGUAAAGCACUUUAAGUGGGGAGGAAGGGCAGUAAGUUAAUACCUUGCU
rnacentral:rRNA from 1 species